ACGGAGGGUGCAAGCGUUAUCCGGAAUCACUGGGUUUAAAGGGUGCGUAGGUGGGCUAAUAAGUCAGAGGUGAAAGCCCGCAGCUUAACUGCGGAAUUGCCUUUGAUACUGUUAGUCUUGAAUCAGGUUGAGGUAUGCGGAAUGUGGCAUGUAGCGGUGAAAUGCGUAGAUAUGCCAUAGAACACCGAUUGCGAAGGCAGCAUACUGGCCCUGUAUUGACACUGAGGCACGAAAGCGUGGGGAGCGAACAGG
rnacentral:rRNA from 1 species